UGUGGGAUGUCGUGCACGUUUUGAGCAUAAUGUCGCUGAUCUUUGAUUCUCUCUUCUUUGAUCUAUAACUGAUUUAAAAACAAGGUGCUUGCAGGAGUAGCUGUUAUAACUAUCUGUGUUUUAUGUUAUGUGUUAUGUUGUAUUUGAUUUUAUGUUAACUUUUCUGCGACCCUUGUGAGGAUAAGCAGAUCACAAAAUCAAUGUAUGGAUUGAUGGAUGUUAACCGUUCUGUAAAGCGCAUUGUUAACAGCUUCAGCUGACGUGAAAGCGCUAUACAAAUAAAGAUGCAUUGUAACUCUAUAGGGAGGGGGGCAGCUUUAUAUUAGCCAAUAUAUUAUCCAAAUCUUUAACAAAUUAUAAUUGUAUGACACACACUAAUGAUUAUAGUUUUGUAUUAGUCAAUGUGCCUGCUAUACAUUAAUCAGACAGUAAUGGAUCACACUUUUAUGGGCAUCACGCAUAUAAACAGUUAAUCGUUUCAUAUCAACAGCAUAUAGUAUAAAGCAGUAAUAGAAGGGAGAAACCUUUUUCUUCUCUGUGCUUCAGUGUGACCUGUCAACAGACACACCUGCAUCCACGUCGUCCUACACAUCCUACACGUCGUCUUUACACAUCCACAUAGUAUAACAAUGACAGUAAGAUAUCAACACAUGAGGAAAAAAAGUUUCAUACACGAACAUGACCUGGCCAAGACUAAAUACACGACAUGAACAAGGCUAAAAAGUACGCACUAGACUUGUGCUGGGAAUGAAAAUAGGGCCUGAUGACAUGAUACGCCUUCUCCUUUCCAGUGAAUGGGAUUAUCCGUUAGUCGCAAUGAAAUAAGUGCACACUAUGUUUUAGGCAAAAAAAACAACAACAACAUUGAACGUGGCAAAGAGGGCCCUGCACUGAUGGACUGAAUCUUGAUGGAGGCACGCAACAAUUGGGCGGGGUCUGACGCUUUGCAUCAGGCUGUUGUUGCUCUGUUCUGGCGUUGGCUACAGUCCACAGGAGCUGUGUUUGGGAUUUAGAAUAAAAGUGAGAUAAACGACUAUUGUCUGACGUGGGCGGUGCACGCAGCAGCUGGCUUGAGGACAACACCAUGAAAAGGGCGGGGGAGCCACACAGAGAGGCGGGUUUUAGAAUAAAUCGUCUUACUACAGAGGUUGGCGACUUUGAUGAUGAAAUUCGAAAAAAAUCUUUAAUGCUAACUUGUGAAACCUACCUGUUUCCCAACCCAUUCACUUGUUUAAUAUUCCACAGGCAUUUUUUGUUUUUUUUCUGUGUUUUUUACAAUUCUCAUCUUCCGCAGGAAAGUAUUUUGUUGCUCCCAGCUUUCAUGGAACCUUCCAAUAAAAUCAAAUUCAAAAUAUGUGAAUAUCUGGGGAAAAAACAAACAAACAAUAAAAUGUAUCAGUUUGAACAAUGAA